rnacentral:lncRNA from 1 species
UAAAAUUGAAUUGGUUACCUUGGUCUGAAAGUUUGGCUACCAACUGCACUAUAAAAAAACUGCAGGUGUGGAUGUGAAUUAGUUACUUUGGUAUGAAGGUUUUGUUACCUUGGUACGAAGAUUUGCUUACCUUGAUUUGAAGGUUUGGUAACCAACUUUACUAAGAAGAAAUUUGAAGGUUUGAUAACUAAAAAGGGUCCUUUACAUAAGUAUACAAUAAAUAUAAAAUAAUUACAAGAAAAGUGCAUCAACUAAAUAAUUACAAAAAGAGUGUAAUUAGGACUCAUAGUACAAAAAUAGUACAAUUCACAUUAAUAAAGAAACCUAAAAUCAAGGAUAACUAAUAAUUCAAAUUCAAAUCUUGUCUCUAACAACAAUUUCAAAUCCAUAUUUCAAAAUUCAAAUCAAAAUGAGAAAAUUAAAAAUAAAAAAUUAUGAAGGAGCUAAUGUUCAUCAUCCUCCUCUCUCGCCGCCACCGCUGCUGCCGCCACAUCGCCGCCGCCACCGGAGUUGCUAUUCUGAAUUUCUUUUAACGAUUUGGUUACCCACAAAAAUUGAAAUGGUUACCUUUAUACGAAUUUUGACUAGUAACUGCAUCACAUUUAAAAUAAAAUUGAUAAUCAAAUAAAACUGAAUUAGUUACCUUAUCUAAUGGUUUGGUAACCAACUAUAUGAAAUUUGGUUACCAACUGCAUCACAUCCAAAAUAAAUUAGUAACCUAAUAAAACUAAAUUGGUUACCUUAUCGGAAGGUUUAGUAACCAACUGCAUAAAUUUUGGUUACCAACUGCAUCACAUUCAAAAUAUAUUAGUAAGCUAAUAAAACUGAAUUGGUUACCUUAUCAAAUGAUUUGGUAACCAACUACAUGAAGUUUGAUUACCAACUGUAUCACAUCCAAAAUAAAUUAGUAACCUAAUAAAACUGAAUUGGUUACCUUAUCGGAAG